CACCCAUUUGUGGAUAGUAUGGCGGUCAAAACACCGGCGAAAUGCUCCGCCCCUUUCCACCGCGAAAACAGCCGGAACUACCGCGAACUUUGGUCUUCGUACUACUCGCCGACAAAACCGUCUAUGUGUAAACGGGGCUUAAGACUCA